UUUUUAAUUUUAUAAAAUAAAAUAGUAAGUUUUCUAUUUUUCUAAAAUAUAGUAACUUACAAAAUAUACUAAAGGAACUGUUAUUAGUCUACUGUGAAAAAUAUUUCUGAAGUGACGAUCAGUGGAAUAGUGUCAUUGGAACAUCAGGCGCAAUUCGUAGUGAUGUCAUUAGUAAAAAAAACAACUUUUUUUUCUAUCGCUACAAAUUAGAUAUAACCUGUGGAAAAUUUAUAACGCUUUGAGACACUGAUCAAGAUUGCAUCAUGCAGAUGUGUCGGAAACAAGAGAUCAACAAAAAGGGGAAAAAGAAAAAAAACACUUGAAUACCACCGCGCUCAACCUGUUGUGUGCUCGGGGACAUUUGGUGAGCGCUCCAUAUUAUUCUUUAUCCCUUUCGGUUCCACUUUUUUUAGUAAAAAAUGUAAAAAGAAGAAAAAAAAAUGAAAAUAAUACGAUCCUUUGAAAACGAGAUACGAGAGCGGGUUGAAGUUUGUGGUGCACCGAGAGAUAGGGGUUAAUUUAAAUUUGGAAUAAUAGAUUAUAGAAUUGCUUUUUAAAAACUGGUUCAUAAUUCGUAGGAUUUACAAUGUUGUAAAAGAUUUUCACUCAAGCAUAAUGUUGGCAAGUUAUCUGUAAUAAAACAAUGUAUCAAUGAAUUUAUCGCGUAUGCAAAAUGAUCGGAGCAACCUUUGCGUAUCAUUUAAUCUCGCUAUCAACUAAUUAAAUGAUAAAAGAUAAGCGGACGAGUGGAAAACUGGCAAACGUUAACAUUUUAAAAAUGUCAUGCGUAUUGCAAGGGCUCAGUUUUAAAUUACUUUAGAAUAUUGAAGCGGUGAAAUAAUUAAGUGGUUGAAUACAGAAACCACAACAUUAGUUCGUGUACAAUAAUGACUUAUAACAUCAGAACGAUUGUGCCUCAGUCCUUACCGCGUAUUUGAACGGACAGGACCACUCUUGGUUAAGUGCAGGUAUCGUAGACAUUCUUUUUUAUUUCGUGCUUCGGCAAUAGAUUCCUAUUUAUUUUACUUUCGAAAUUAGAAUUAGGAUAAAAGUAAUUUGAUGCCGCUUUGAAGGGUUAACUUUUUUAUAUUUAUUAUCUACAUGAGGAAAUUAAUGUCGGAUUUUUGGUAGUUCCUUUUUUGAGGUUUGAAUUUUGAGGCAGCAAUAAUUACUGUUUGGGCGCUUUUUUAAUAAAUCUUCAGAUGCGACGGUUGAAUUAAUGUCAGACGUGAAAUAUUUUGCUUAUACAUGAAACGUGUAUAAUAAAACUGAAUGCGUCAUUCUCCUUUCAUAUAUUUUAUAAGGCUCAUCUUACAAUUAUAUGAAUCAUUCUGUCUUUAUGGCCAUUAAAACGGUCAAGACCCCGGAUUUGUGGAACCCAACGACGUUGAAAUAUAUUAAAAAUUUGAUACAACCCUGUUUUACUGUGACACUUGCAAUUUUAUAAACAUUAACAUUCAUAAUAAAAAUAAAAUGCCCGUGUUCGUUGAAACACCUCAAUCAUUCUUAAUUUGAUUACUUUUUGUCACAAACAUUCAGACGGACAGACAAUCACGGGCUGUUGAUAUGUUUUAAAUUAUAUAGUGCCGAACGUUACAGCACGGCUAUUUUGCUAUCCGUUCAUUGGCGAUGAUUAUUGGAUUGUGUGUCUUAUUUCAUUUGAUAUCUGGUUCAUUUUCGUUUGUGCUUUGUACCGGACGAUCAAUGUUUCAAAGAAAUACAUGUGAAUGCUCUACCUGCUGUGGGUUGAGAUGUGUGGACGGUGGUAUGCAACACUGUUGCACUUUUAUACCCUCUUCGAAUACAAAUUGUCCUGUUUACGUCCUAAAAAUGUGUCCAAUUAUUAAAAUUGCCUUGUUUCUUGAUUUCAAAUGUGAUUUUUGUAAUGAAAUUUCUGAACGAGAAGGCUGUAGUUUUCGUCGUCUUAUUAUCAUAUCUUGAUAAUAAAAUCUUGAUGUUGGUACAAUGACAAAAGUAAAUUAAAAUAUGCGGGAAGUUUUGAAUUGAUGCUUAGUAAAAAUUUGCUGACCAUAACGGAGAGCAAUUCUGUUAUAUUUAUCUGAUGAUAUUUUAUGUGACAACUUUGUGAUUUUAUGUGACUAAUUCUAGAACUGGGAUCACAACCUUAUUUGUCGUUUUUUGCCGAUGUUAAUAACUACAAAAGUUUGAUCACAAAAGAAAUAGUAGUUACAAAGUAAAGCUAGAGUACCAUAAAAUACGUGAUCGUUGCUUCAUCUAACAUAACAUCAUUACGGCACCUGCUCUCGCGGGACCGGUCGGAAUAGAGGUAAAAAAAUAAUCUUUUUCAUUUUAAAAACAACAAUUUUUAAAAUGCCCGACCGUGGGAUCUCGUUUUGUUUACAGUUUUCUGUUUAUAUUCCAACACUUGGCGAUGACAAAAUGUUAAACAAUUCUUUGUUAUCGAUAAAUAAGUUAUUUUAAGACUUUGUCUUUAUAUUUUUUUUAAGAAAAUAAAAGGAUCUUUGUGGUUUCUCUGUGGUUGGACGUGUUCUAAUUUUAAACUGGCAUAAAGCACAUUCCUUUGCUACUAUUUAAUUAAAUUCCGCAAAUGUUCGUUAUUUAAAAUUCGGAACUAUGUUAUUAUGUUAAUUUAACUAUUAAUAUUU